GAUGAACGCUGGCGGCGUGCCUAAUACAUGCAAGUCGAACGCAUAGCGAAAGGUGCUUGCACCUUUCAAGUGAGUGGCGAAAGGGUAAGCAACACUUGGACAACCUUCCUCAAGACUGGGGUUAACACUUGGAAACAGAUGCUAAUACCGAAUAAAACUUAGAGUCGUCUGACACAAAGUUAAAAGGCGCUUCGGCGUCACCUAGCGAUGGAUCCCCGGUGCAGUAGUUAGUUGGUGGGGGAAAGGCAUACCAAGACUAUUAUGCAUAGCCGAUUUGAGAGAGAGGUCCGACACAUUGGGAGUGAGACAGAGCAGCAACACCUGCGGGAGGCUGCAGUAGGGAAUCUUCCGGAAUGGAGGAGUGGGUGAUAGUGCAACGCCGGGUGAAGGAUGAAGGCUUUAGGGUGGGAGAGUACUGUAGUACGGGAAGAACUGCAGCAAUAGGAAAUGAGUAUAGUAUGACGGUACCAUAAGAGGAAGGGACGGCUAAAUACGUG
rnacentral:rRNA from 1 species